rnacentral:misc_RNA from 1 species
GAUGAAGAACGUAGCGAAAUGCGAUACUUGGUGUGAAUUGCAGAAUCCCGUGAACCAUCGAGUCUUUGAACGCAAGUUGCGCCUCAAGCCAUUAGGUUGAGGGCACGUCUGCCUGGGCGUCACAUAUCGUUGCCUGAUGCCAGUUUCCUCGUGAUGGGUGACUGUGCAGGGCGAAUGAUGGCUUCCCGUGAGCAUUGUUGCCUCAUGGUUGGUUGAAAAUUGAGUCCUUGGUAGGGAGCGCCGUGAUAGAUGGUGGUUGAGUGACGAACGAGACCCAAUCAUGUGAGACCCCUACCGAAUUUGGCCUUCAUGACCCACAUGCGUCUUUGGAACGCUCAUGACGAGACCUCAGGUCAGGCGGGGCUACCCGCUGAGUUUAAGCAUAUCAAUAAGCCGAGGA